UAUAGAGGAUCAGAAUCCGCUGACAUAGUGAGGAGCCAUCUGGGCAUCAAGUUCUGCUGAGUGAACAUUUAGCAGGAACAAGUCCUGGCGGGGCUGCAAUCCAAGGAUGACCACAGCAGAACUCCUUUAUCUUGCAGAGACCUAACAGUCUAUAUAAGACCCGGAGGUUGGCAUUCAUCUCUACCCAGCAUUUCUAUAGGAUCCCUGGUAUUACUCUUCCUAGAAGAAACAACAGGAAAGCAGAAAAUUGAGAAAAACAGCAGCAACUUCAAAAUACCAAAAUCAAGUUUACACAAAAAAUAACUGAGAAGGACUUCUGGUUCCAGCGCUGGCAUGUGAAGAGCGCAAAGUCGGAGCUCCUGCACCGUAUUAGCCGCCACAAGGGAUACUGACCUCCACAUCCUGCAGCCAGAGGUCCAGGAGUGUGUCGGAAGGACCGGUAUCUUUAUUCUGCCGGCGGCAACAGUGAUAGCAUCUCGACAGUCCCUCUCUGCUUCCCCCUUAGGGCCGCCAUCUUCUGCCUGUGCAAGGAGCGCCGCUGUUCAGUCACACAGCACUGAGGUACCAGAUGGUGCAGACACUCAUGGGAGACGGGGAGCGCUCUCUCAGUGACUGGCAGCCGCAAUGCUUAUGAGGGGCUACGGGUUAGCACACUACCACUCUGACCACACCACAUAGAGGACCGGGAGUGCCUCCUGCACAACCUCUUCAAGUUCUGCCCCUACAUCUAUCUUCAUAACUGCUUGAGUGGCAGAUUGCAGCAUUACCAUACAGUACUCAUAGGCACUGAGAGGGUCUGGGGUCCCUGCUUCAUCUUCAUCCACACUACUAUUGGCAGUGACUUUUUCCUACUUCAUGGACCGUUAUCUCAGUAAAGGGCCCCAACUUGGGGACUCCCGAGCAACAACGCCCCCCUCCACUCCUGCUUCCAGCCUUUGGACUAACGUUCCUUUUAUCCAAACGGAUGCCCUUGCUUGACCAUACAGAAUUCCCGCAGGGUAGGUCCUCCCCAUGGAACUGUGGAUUUCAAAAGGGGUUAGGACGAUGGGGCGAAUUAUUCACAGUGGUUAUCGCAGAUUGCUCACACCGGGGGAGAUGAAACAGACAUUUGACCUUCCCACGCUCUCUAUGCCAACCAGGUUCAUGCCUUCUGUUCCUAUAGAUUACGGGACCUAUCGAAGGAAGCCCCAUUUCACACUCUGGAAGAGGUUAGAGGCAGUGAGCCACAGAGAUUAUCAAUAUCCGAUUUGUAUGUAGCUUUCCGGGGCCGCUUUCUUAAAUAUGACUCCAAACGUGUUUUCCGUACAUGGGAAAGGUGGACUGGGGACACCGACAUUGCUGACAGUAUACUACGUGGUUGGGAGGAAACAUGUUAAUGAGGUGGAAAGAGACAUAAUUCAAGGUUGCUCACACCGGUUUUAAUAUUUUGCCCUCUUCUUCUUUCACAGAUAGGAUCACUCACUGUCCUAAGUACAAAACCCCGCUCACUAACAUGCAUCAUGGGGUCUGGGAGUGUCUCCACUCAGCGGAUUACUGGCGUCUUUCCAUGGUUUCUUUAUGUUGUUUUAGUGGCACUUCGGUGUCUUUUCGCCAAAUGGUUGGACCCCACUACUCCAAAUUUGCCUGUGCGGAUAGCCCAAUUGAAGUUAUUUCUAGCUGUAGACCGGUUAGAUGCAGAGUGGCACUCUGACUCAGGCACAAAAGUUUUUUUUACAGAAAUGGAGAUCUUUAAUUGUUACUCACUUUGACUCUCAGGGGAUCGCCGAAAUUGUCCGGCCUUUUAGAUACACAGCCUGGUAUGGAAUCUCUGGGAGGUUCUUUAGGAGCGUUGUUUACCUGAUACCUGAUGCGCUAUGACUACUCUCUAUAGCUGCUUUUGGUUUUAUUUUGAUCCCCUGGGAGUCAGAGGAGCAGUUGUUGGGCUCGAUUGCCGUUUCUGGGACAAGGAACGGCGCCCGUUUACCAUGUAUGGGGGACAUGUGAUGGUGUUAUGGCUCCCGCUUGCCGUUAGACCCUACUAUUUGCCUCGGACUGCCUUUUUACUGGUGGACACCAGCGUCGUUCCCUGGGACUUCAUCUCCUUUUCUUUGAGGACAUUAUAUGAUUGUUAUUAAGUCGAGGGGGGACUGUUGUACUGGGUAUGCAAUUUGUUCCUGGUCGGGAUCUUUAUUGCUCUCCUCGAG